rnacentral:tRNA from 2 species
GCUCAGUCGGUAGAGCAGAGGACUGAAAAUC